GUCUUCGGACUCAGUGGCGAACGGCGGAGUAAUACAUGAGGGAACGUGCCCUAAAGACUGGGAUAGUCAUUGGAAACGAUGGGUAAUACCAGAUGUGGCGGAAGAUCGGCAUCGAUUUUCCACUAAAAGGUUUUUCGCUUUAGGAGUGCCUCAUGGCCUAUCAGGUAGUUGGUGGGGUAAUGGCCUACCAAGCCGACGACGGGUAGCGGGUCUGAGAGGAUGAUCCGCUCGAGUGGGACUGAGACACGGCCCACACACCUACGGGUGGCAGCAGUUGGGAAUCUUGCACAAUGGGGGAAACCCUGAUGCAGCGACGCCGCGUGGAGGAUGAAGGGUCUAGGCUCGUAAACUCCUUUUUCAGGGAAAGACUUAGGACGGUACCCUGAGAAUAAGGACCGGCUAACUACGUGCCAGCAGCCGCGGUAAGACGUAGGGUCCAAGCGUUGUCCGGAUUUACUGGGCGUAAAGAGCGCGUAGGCGGCUCGUUAAGUGUGAAGUGAAAUCUCCAGGGCUCAACCCGGAAACUGCUUUACAUACUGGCGAGCUAGAGGGAUGCAGAGGUUUGUGGAAUUCCUGGUGUAGCGGUGAAAUGCGUUGAUAUCAGGAGGAACACCCAUGGCGAAGGCAGCAAACUGGGCAUCAUCUGACGCUGAGGCGCGAAAGCGUGGGUAGCAAACAGGAUUAGAUACCCUGGUAGUCCACGCCCUAAACGAUGGAUACUAGGCGUAAGAGGUAUCGACCCCUCUUGUGCCGCAGCUAACGCAU
rnacentral:rRNA from 1 species